rnacentral:rRNA from 1 species
GGGUUGUGAGGUUAAGCGACUAAGCGUACACGGUGGAUGCCUUGGCAGUCAGAGGCGAUGAAGGACGUGCUAAUCUGCGAUAAGCGCCGGUAAGGUGAUAUGAACCGUUAUAACCGGCGAUUUCCGAAUGGGGAAACCCAGUGUGACUCGUCACACUAUCAUUAACUGAAUCCAUAGGUUAAUGAGGCGAACCGGGGGAACUGAAACAUCUAAGUACCCCGAGGAAAAGAAAUCAACCGAGAUUCCCCCAGUAGCGGCGAGCGAACGGGGAGGAGCCCAGAGCCUGAAUCAGCAUGUGUGUUAGUGGAAGCGUCUGGAAAGGCGCGCGAUACAGGGUGACAGCCCCGUACACAAAAGCGCAUAUGCUGUGAGCUCGAUGAGUAGGGCGGGACACGUGGUAUCCUGUCUGAAUAUGGGGGGACCAUCCUCCAAGGCUAAAUACUCCUGACUGACCGAUAGUGAACCAGUACCGUGAGGGAAAGGCGAAAAGAACCCCGGCGAGGGGAGUGAAAAAGAACCUGAAACCGUGUACGUACAAGCAGUGGGAGCCCCACCACUAAGCCAGUGGUGAACUCCACAUACGCAUCCUUUGCUGAGGAUACGGUUAACGGAGCGAAAGCGACGUUCAACCGCAAAAGAAGCAGAGGGGGCUUAGUGGUGG